CACGAAGUAGAAAGUUUUGCUCAAUACAAAUUUCUUUUCACUAAAUGGGCUUUUCACGAUUCCUUACUAUACACAAACGACGAAUCAGCAGCGACGACCGAUAGCGGCGACAACGUUUCAGCACUUUUGGGUAUAACAGUAGCCGUUCAUCGAAUUGGCGUUCAGUUCUUAAGGGUAGUUAGUUGGAAAACGGCGUCAAAUCGGGCUAACGGUGCCGCACAAUUGGGUUGAUAGCAAAUUUUUUUGUAUUAUACCAAAACUAGUGGUGCAGAAGACGGGCACAGUGCAGAGGGCCACCAGCAAGCUGAAAAAUGUAUAUAUAAAUCGGUAGUAGUUGCUGAAAAAGUGUAUACCGCAGUGUAGGAAGUAUUGAAAAUUCAUGUAAAUUUUGUGUUCAAAUGUGGAAAAUUCCAAAUAUCGCAGUCUAGCAACAAAUCGUAUGCAUUGUGCAACCCACCAAAAAUUAUACAAAAGCAGCGUCAUGUAAAUAAAUCGUUAGAAGCUAAACGUAUAUACAUCAUAUGCCAAGAUAUCAUCAGCGACAGCGUCAACAGCGACCCUCAUCAAACCAACCAACUUAAUAACCAAACAACAACUAAAACAAUCAGUAAAGCGACGUUUGGGUCGACAGCCAAUUGACCGAGCAAUCAAACGACAAACAACACACAACACACAACAAGCAACAAGCGCAGUGUUAAACACUCUUCGAGGCAACAACACCUAAAAGUAUACUAUCGCAGCCACGCAAAAGCCAAUCGAGUACACACACAAGGCACUAGGUGCCAUUAAUGCAAAAAUAGAACAACCGAGGGCGAAUAAAAUUUGAUUGCCUGCUGCCCAACCACGCGUCCAACCGAACGGAACGCAAUUCGCGGACCGAAACAAGCAGCAAGCAGAGGCGAAGGUAACAGCAACAACGGGAAAUAAGACAUUCUCUUAGCUCUCGUAGUGCAUGCGUAGCUGAGGUGAGCCGUGUAGGCGGUUAAUUGGAAAUUUUCUUCUGUUAGCGCUUGUUUCGAGAAAGCAGUCAAAAUUCACCGGCUAAGCAAGAGUGAUUGAAAAACGUGACAGAUACAAUACCAAAGAAAAAAAGCAAAAACAAAACAAAUAAUAACAAAUAACCAAUACAUAAAGGAAGAAAGCAAAAGAGAAUAUAAAAAAUACAAAAUACAAAAUCACCCUCUUAACGUUGUACUUAGCACCCAAUCGGGCUUAAACUAGAUUCAGUUAUUUGAAACUUCUUAACGAAUUAAACCAAAAAAACAAAAACUGAAAAAAUUUUCAAAUUAUUAAAACAGAUUUAUAUAGUUACUUUUUGCGUCGCCUUAUAAAAACUAAUCGCACAUAAUCGUACAUAUACACACACAUAUAUACAUAUAUAUACAAGCUACUGUACUCGUAUAUGUGAAAGCGGAGAGAAGCAGAGCAAAAAAAAAACAAAAAGUAUACGAAAUUCACGAUAACAAGAAAAACAUAUAGCAGAAGAGAACACAUAACCCGAGCAGUGUGAAGCGAGAGAGAAACCGCGGACCAACCGCGGCAGAUUAUGUCACGAGACGAUUACAAUCCUGUAACUAGCUCUGGUGUUCGUAGCCCGGGUCGCUCAAGGCGGCUCACGGAAUUGCCAACUGUAGAUCGAUCGCCAUCACGAGACUACGGUGCACGUGGAAGUCCCCUAGUUUAGAAGUAGUCAAAAAUUCCUUUCCGAGAUAAAUUAGAACGCGUUGGUUUGCUGCAAGGCGUGCCACAUACACUUCGCCAUACACUUAUAUAACUGUUCCUUUGUUGUGUCGUAACAAAUUAAGGCGGCAAACUGGAUUACAACUAUGCAAUGGGCAGUCCAUACUAUAGAGACAUGGAUGAGCCAACAAGUCCAGCCGGUGCGGGCCACCAUCGGAGUCGGAGUGCCAGCAGACCGCCGAUGUCACAUGCCAUGGAUUAUCCAAGAACACGUUACCAGUCGCUGGAUCGCGGUGGCUUGGUUGAUCCACACGAUCGUGAAUUUAUACCCAUACGUGAGCCACGCGAUCGCUCACGUGAUAGGUCGCUUGAGAGAGGAUUGUAUUUGGAGGACGAGUUGUACGGACGUUCGGCGAGGCAAAGCCCGAAUCCUAUAGGUUAUCAAACGGGGUUACCAUCAUCGGAUCGAGCGUAUCUGGGCGAUCUACAGCAUCAAAAUACCGAUCUGCAGCGGGAAUUAGGUCAACUUAAGCGAGAGUUAGAACUGACAAACCAAAAGUUAGGUAGUUCGAUGCACAGCAUAAAGACGUUUUGGUCGCCGGAGUUAAAGAAGGAGCGAGCGUUGCGUAAAGAAGAGAGCGCCAAAUACAGUUUGAUUAAUGAUCAGCUAAAGUUGCUGAGCACGGAAAAUCAAAAACAAGCGAUGUUGGUGCGUCAGUUGGAGGAGGAGUUGCGAAUGCGCAUGCGUCAGCCUAACAUUGAAAUGCAACAACAAAUGGAGGCUUUGUACGCGGAAAACGAUCAUUUACAGCGCGAGAUCAGCAUAUUACGUGAGACAAUUAAGGAUCUUGAGUGUCGCGUGGAAACGCAAAAGCAAACUCUCAUUGCGCGAGACGAAAGUGUCAAGAAAUUAUUGGAAAUGUUGCAAACCAAGGGAAUGGGUAAAGAGGAGGAGCGACAGAUGUUCCAGCAAAUGCAAGCCAUGGCCCAAAAACAGAUGUACGGCACAUACGGCUCGACUGGAAGUCCGCCACUACCAGACAUAAUCGGUCAGUAUUACCUGCCGACCGGAUACGGUCUCGGUGUUGGUCCGCCGCCACCACCACCGAGCACCUACGACAUGUUUGGCCCCACCUCUUCAGCUGCUGGUUAUCUGUACGAGCCGACGGUAAGCAGUACUGGCCUCUAUGGCCAGCAUCCAUCACCUAUACGUCGACGCCGUUACAGUAUCGCCGGCCUGCCAUCGGCCUCGAUGAUGAACGACUACUACGGUCUCUAUGCGCCACAAAUGCAGCAAUCCUCCUCUUCUAAUAUUGUUAACCUGUUAAAUGAGGCGCACAAAUCCAUUUCACGCUCCUCCCAGAUACUAAACCAACAUGCGCGCAUGCAACAGGCCACACAACCAGUAACACCGCUCUCACAUUAUCCCGGACGCAUAAUCUCUAGCUAUCCGACCUUGCACCCGGGUGAUACGUCGCCGCCAUACCUUAAUGAUAACCUCAUGCAGAUGUCGUCGAGCUUCUCCUCCCAGCCGAACAUGUACUUCCAACAGUAUGCACCGACGUCGGCGGCGGCCACAGCGGCAGCGGCCCAACAAUCAGCAGCAGCGGCGGCGGCAGCAGUAGCGGCACAACAAGCGGCCACCGGUGGCCAUUUGGGUGGAAGGCUAUUGCGGCCGGCCUACUCAGUGUCAAAUUUAAAUUACUUGAACUAUCCGAGCAAAUACACUUCAGGUGGUGUUAGUGGUAUUGGUGGUAGUAGUAGUUAUGCAAAUCCAUUCUCUCAGUCCAUAUUCAGUCAGACCGAUUUGCCAUAUAGCAUGAGUACGUUGUUGCAUCAACGCAAUCUAAUGCCAUCGUUGCACGCCUCCAAUCCGGCUAUAUCGCAGUACUAUCAGUACGCCACACAGGCACCACAUACGCAUCCGCUUGCCUACAAUUUGCAACAGCAAUUUGCGGGCACACAACAUUAUACACACCAGCUGCCGCCCGGCGCCCAGCACCCGUCGGCGCACAUCCACCACUCGGUACAGCAGCAGCUGAAUCCGUUGCAUCAGUACCACGUGCACCAGCAGCAGCAUCACAUGCAAACGCAUCCACUGGCGGCGUUGCGCGAAACGAGUGGACCAUUCGCGGCAACACUUACCAGCAGCGCGCUGGACGACGCGGGGCUGACUGGGCGCGCUGGCCUAAGUGCAAGCGGUGGCGUUGGUGGCGUUGGCGGUGUGGCGACUGGUGCGGCGGGCGUUGCAGCUGCGUCGGCGUAUGAUAGCCUCCAUACAGCGCCCACAUAUCAGCAUCAUCAUCAUCAGCAACAACAACAACAGCAGCAGCAGCAACACCUCAGUCACUUAAGCCAACAGCAUCUGCACCACCUCCAUCAUCAUCCCACAACAUCAGCCCCAUUAAGCCAUACAAGCACUCCAUACCAUCAUCACCAACACAUGUCGCCAUAUUCGAAACUAGAUUUAGACUAUCCGAAACUGCCAUCCGAGCACAAACGACAAUUGGACGAAUUCCGUCUUGAAAUACAAAGAAGGGAUCAAGAAAUAUUGGCGAUGGCGGCCAAAAUGAAAACUUUGGAAGAGCAACAUCAGGACUAUCAGCGUCACAUAGCGGUUCUGAAGGAGUCGUUAUGUGCCAAGGAAGAGCACUACAAUAUGCUGCAGACUGAUGUUGAGGAGUUGCGCGCCCGCCUGGAGGAGAAAAACCGUUUGAUCGAGAAGAAGACACAAGGCACGCUACAAACGGUACAAGAACGGAAUCGUCUGACUAGUGAACUCACCGAAUUGAAGGAUCACAUGGAGAUUAAGGAUCGCAAAAUCAACGUGUUACAGCGAAAGAUUGAAAAUCUCGAGGAUUUGCUCAAGGAGAAGGAUAAUCAGGUGGAUAUGGCACGGGCACGUCUAUCGGCAAUGCAAGCUCAUCACAGUAGCUCCGAGGGCGCUCUCACAAGCCUCGAAGAAGCCAUUGGUGACAAAGAGAAGCAAAUGGCCCAACUGCGAGAACAGCGAGAUCGUGCCGAACAUGAAAAGCAAGAGGAGCGCGAAUUACAUGAGCGUGAAAUUGCCGAUUACAAAAUCAAGUUGCGGGCACUCGAGAGCGAAGUGGAGAAAUUGAAUACACGCCUGGAGCGUGCAGUCACCGAACGUGAGCGCUUGGAAAUCAAAUUGGAGGCGUCACAAAGUGAGUUGGGCAAAUCGAAGGCGGAACUGGAGAAGGCCACCUGCGAGAUGGGACGCAGCAACGCCGAUUGGGAGUCCACCAAACAACGCAUAGCCCGUCUAGAAUUGGAGAACGAACGCUUGAAACACGAUCUGGAACGUUCACAGCUGCAGCUAGAAGAACAGACCACACUACAUAAAUCUGUACAAAAAUUAAUGCUCGAGUCAGGACGCUUAUCGACAACAUUUGGUCGCACAACAAUGACGACUUCGCAAGAGCUGGACCGGGCACAAGAGCGCGCCGACAAGGCGGCUGCGGAACUGAGGCGAACACAAGCUGAGCUCCGCGUCACACAGUCGGACGCGGAGCGUGCUCGUGAAGAGGCGACCGCGUUACAGGAGAAGCUCGAGAAGAGUCAGGGUGAGGUAUAUCGCCUUAAAGCGAAACUCGAGAAUGCACAAGGCGAACAGGAAAGCUUGCGCCAGGAGCUUGAGAAGGUGCAGGGAGGUGUGUCACGCAUACAUGCUGAUCGAGAUCGGGCCUUCUCGGAAGUGGAAAAGAUGAAGGAGGAGAUGGAGCGAACUCAAGCCACACUGGGCAAGGCACAACUGCAGCAGGAGAAACUGCAGAACUCAUUGGAUAAAGCCCAGAAUGAGGUCGAUCACUUGCAGGAGAAACUCGAUAAAUCGGUGGCUGAAAACCGACGCUUGGUGCUCGAAAAGGAAAAACUCACCUACGACUACGACAACCUACAGUCGCAGCUGGACAAGGCGCUGGGCCAGGCGGCACGCAUGCAAAAGGAACGAGAAACUCUCACGCUCGACACGGACCGCAUACGUGAGAAAUUAGAAAAAACGCAGAUGCAACUAGCACGUAUACAAAAAGAGCGGGAUCAGUUCUCCGAUGAGUUGGAAACACUCAAAGAACGCUCCGAGUCAUCGCAGACGUUACUGAUGAAAGCGGCGCGCGAUAAGGAGGCGAUGCAAACCGAUUUGGAAGUGCUUAAGGAGCGUUACGAAAAAUCACACGCCAUACAACAAAAAUUGCAGAUGGAGCGUGACGAUGCUGUUACCGAAGUGGAGAUACUUAAAGAAAAACUAGACAAAGCACUUUAUGCUAGCCAGAAACUCAUUGAUGAGAAAGACACAUCCAAUAAAGAAUUUGAGAAGAUGCUUGAGAAGUACGAUCGCGCGCAGAAUGAGAUUUAUCGACUACAGUCACGUUGUGAUACCGCCGAAGCUGAUCGCGCACGUUUGGAAGUCGAAGCAGAGCGUUCCUCUUUGGCCGCGUCGAAAGCGCGUGAAGACUUACGCAAAUUGCAAGAGGAGAGCACUCGCUUACAGGAAGCCUGCGAUCGAGCCGCGCUGCAACUGAGCAGAGCUAAGGAGAGCGAAGAUAAUGCGCGUGUUGAGCUUGAGCACAAUCGUGAACGUUUCGAUAAGAUACAAACCGAUUUGCGACGAUCACAAGGUGAAAAAGAGCAUUUACAAUCGGAGUUGGAACGUGUCACAUACGAACUGGAGCGCGCACAUGCGGCACAAACCAAAGCCAGCGCCAGCGUGGAAGCGGCUAAAGAGGAAGCUGCGCACUAUGCCGUUGAAUUGGAAAAAAUGCGCGAUCGAUAUGAGAAGAGUCAAGUGGAGUUACGUAAACUCCAGGAUACUGAUACAUUUGGACGUGAGACCCGUCGCCUUAAGGAAGAAAAUGAGCGUCUCCGUGAAAAACUGGACAAAACUCUUAUGGAACUCGAAACGAUUCGUGGCAAGUCACAAUACGAAUCCGAAUCGUUUGAAAAAUACAAAGACAAGUAUGACAAGAUUGAAAAUGAAAUACAAAAUAUGGAAUCCAAACUGCAUGAGACCACCCUGCAACUGGAAUUGUCCAAAGGUGAGGUUGCUAAGCUACUUGCCAAUCAAGAGAAACAACGUAGCGAAUUGGAGCGGGCGCAUAUUGAGCGCGAGAAGGCACGUGACAAGCACGAGAAACUGCUGAAGGAGGUGGAGCGAUUGCGUCUGCAGCAACAGUCGGCCAUCAGCCCUGGCGAGUCGGUGCGCGCAUCGAUGUCGGCUGGCGAGCGCCAAGAAAUCGAUCGAUUACGCGAUCGACUCGAAAAGGCAUUACAGUCGCGCGAUGCCACCGAACUCGAAGCGGGCCGCCUCGCCAAGGAGUUGGAGAAAGCGCAGAUGCAUUUAGCCAAACAGCAGGAAGCGAACGAAUCGACGCGCAUCGAAUUCGAACGCAUGUCUGCCGAACUCGGCCGUCUGCACGAUCGACUCGAGAAGGCAGAGGCCGAGAAGGAGUCACUACGCCAAUCGGCACGCAAUGGCGCAGACAAACCGCAUCCACAAAUCGAAAAGCACAUGCAGAAAUUGGAAGCCGAUUGCAAGCAAUUAGCUAUCGAACGCGAGCAAUUGGUACUGCAACUCGAAAAGAGCCAGGAGAUAUUGAUGAAUUUCCAAAAGGAGCUGCAAAAUGCCGAAACCGAAUUGCAAAAGGCGCGUGAAGAGAAUCGCAAAUUACGUAACGGUCAUCCGGCAUCACCCGCGGCACCUGCUGAACUGCAAGCCAUGCAACAGGAGAUCCAGGGACUGCAACAGAAGUUACAAGAAUCCGAAAAAGCCCUCCAGGUCGCUAGUGCCGCAGCGGGCGCGAGUGGCGCCAAUCGGGAAGAGGUCGAACAGUGGCGCAAGGUGCUUGAAGUUGAGAAGAAUCGCGCAGAAAUGGCCGACAAAGCCGCACAAGAAAUGCAUAAACGCAUACAAUUGAUGGAUCAGCACAUUAAGGAGCAACAUCAACAAAUGCAGAAAAUGCAACAACAGAUAGCACAACAGCAACAACAACAACAACAACAGCAGCAGCAACAACAAGUGUCCGGUAAUGCUCAAGAAGUCACGAAGGAGCUGGAGAAGGUGAAAGGUGAACUGCAGGCUGCCUGUACAGAACGUGACCGUUUCCAACAGCAGCUGGAGUUGCUGGUACAAGAACUCGAAAAGAGCCAGCUUUCAAACCAGGAGCAGUCGAAGCAACUGCAAACUUCUCAGCAGCAAGUGCAGCAGUUGCAGCAGCAGGUGCAAAUGUUGCAGCAGCAAAUACAACAACUGCAGCAGGCGGGCACUUCCGGCGCAGCUGCCACCGAUGUGCAGCGCCAACAAUUGGAGCAACAACAGAAACAAUUGGAGGAGGUACGCAAACAGAUCGACAACCAAGCCAAGGCUACGGAAAGCGAGCGCAAGAUCAUCGAGGAGCAGCGCAAACAGAUAGAAGCCAAACGCAAGGAUAUCGAGGAGAAAGAGAAGAAAAUGGCUGAUUUCGAUGUACAGUUGCGUAAACGAAAGGAGCAAAUGGACCAGUUGGAGAAAUCUCUGCAGACACAGGGUGGCGGUGCUGCGGCAGCAGGGGAGCUUAACAAGAAGCUCAUGGACACACAGCGACAGCUUGAAGGCUGCGUUAAGGAACUGCAAAACACCAAGGAGGAGCACAAAAAGGCAACCACCGAAUGCGAACGGUUACUUCAACUGGUGCAAAUGUCGCAAGAGGAACAGAACGCCAAGGAGAAAACCAUUAUGGACUUACAACAAGCCUUAAAGAUCGCUCAAGCAAAAGUGAAACAAGCACAAACGCAGCAGCAGCAAGAUUUUAAAGAUCAAGUUAAAUGCUCAUGUCCCAAGCGAUAUCUGAAAUACCCUUCCCAUACCGUUAGGACGUCACAAUAUAGAAAUCGUUACUUUCAACAACCGAAGCCUCCUUAAAUGACUUUCGUGUCUAAUUAACGAUUUAGAUUCAAUGGAACUCGAUUGUUCAGUCCCUCACAUUUUGCGAAAUCCUCAUGGAAUACUUGUGAAAUAAAUCCAAAAGGCUGGACCAGCUGGAUUCUUGAAGAGCUUUUUCUAAGGAGUAUUACUUGAAAACUUGAAAACAAACAAAUAUAUACGAGAAGCAACAAAACUUUUCAUUAUUACACUGUACAUUUAACUACCAGUAACCUCAGUAUUGAUUUCAUUAUAAUAAUGAACAAUGGAAAAGAAGGGAAAUCUUUUUUACUCAACUUUUGCUGAACGUUGUCUUUUUCUAAUUAUUGUUUUCUUGUAACUAAACCAAAAAUAUACGCAGAUUAAUGUUAAAUAUUGUGAACUAAA